rnacentral:lncRNA from 1 species
UGUUGCUGGGCAUUUGGGUUGUUUCUACUUCUUGUCUUUUAUUAAUAAUGCUGCUAUGAACAUUUGUGUACAAGUUUUUGUGUGGAUGUAUGUUUUUAUUUUCUUUAGGACAGGACUUGCAGGGUCAUAUUGUCAGAGAUGUUCAAACCGGAGCGACUCCAUCUUGAAUAGGGGCUUGUCUACACAAGUACUUCUAAGAGAAAGUUCAUAGCAGCACUGUUCAUAAUUGCCCCAAACUAGAAACAAUCCAAAUGCUCUAUUAAUAGGUAAAUGUAUAAACAAACUUUGGUAUAUCCAUGUAAUGGAAUACUGCUCAGAUAUAAAAAGAAACGAGUACUGAUAUGCACAACAUAAAUGAAUCUCAGAAGCGUCAUGUCCUUGUGCCAACGACAAAACCUGAGUGACUGACAUUUCUUAUUUGCUGACUUGAUCAGACUAUUUGAUAUCACACAGACACGGCAAUUUUUCCCAUGGCAAUCCCGGGGUGUCAUCUCAGAUUCUGUAAGAAAGGACCAAGGAAUGUAUAAUUGUAUCAAGCUGCCAUUUAAUGAGGCACUAGAUGCAUCUCACAGACAAAGGUCAAAGUUUGAGAUAGCAGAAGGGUUGGGACUUUAGGUAAUCUGAAAACAAGCACUGUGUAUCAUUAGAAAAAUUGUAUGAAAUGCCUAUUUGGGUGAAACGAAUUUUACUUGUGAUGAGUAAUGGCUGUUGUAAAAUAUACCUUGUAGAGAAACAAGCUUGGACAUUUCUGUUCUUCCUUUUAGCAUACCAGCCUUCAGUGUUGUGACACUAUAGGGUCUUAAAAUACUUGCCCCUGUUUAUUUGCUUUUGCAUAG